rnacentral:rRNA from 1 species
UACGGGGUGCAGCAGGCGCGCAAACUUUACAAUGCGAGCAAUCGUGAUAAGGAAACUCUGAGUGCCUGUCGAUGCAGGCUGUUCAUAUAUCUAAAUCAUAUGUGAAGAAAGGGCAGGGCAAGACCGGUGCCAGCCGCCGCGGUAAUACCGGCUGCUCGAGUGAUGGCCACUAUUACUGGGUUUAAAGCGUCCGUAGCUUGACUGUUAGGUCUCUUGGGAAAUCUUCACGCUCAACGUGAGGGCGUCUAAGAGAUACCGGCAGUCUUGGAACUGGGAGAGGUAAACCGUACUUCGGGGGUAGGAGUGAAAUCUUGUAAUCCUCGAGGGACGACCUAUGGCGAAGGCAGUUUACCAGAACAGCUUCGACAGUGAGGGACGAAAGCUGGGGGAGCAAACGGGAUUAGAUACCCCGGUAGUCCCAGCCGUAAACAAUGUGCGUUAGGUGUGUCGGUAACCACGUGUUACUGAUGCGCCGAAGAGAAAUCGUGAAACGCACCACCUGGGAAGUACGGUCGCAAGGCUGAAACUUAAAGGAAUUGGCGGGGGAGCACCACAACAGGUGGAGCCUGCGGUUUAAUUGGAUUCAACGCCGGACAUCUCACCGGAUAAGACAGCUGAAUGAUUGUCAAUCUGAAGGUUUUACAUGACUAGCUGAGAAGAGGUGCAUGG